rnacentral:rRNA from 1 species
UACGUAGGGUGCGAGCGUUAAUCGGAAUUACUGGGCGUAAAGCGUGCGCAGGCGGCGCGUUAAGACAGGUGUGAAAGCCCCGAGCUUAACUUGGGAAUUGCGCUUGUGACUGGCGUGCUGGAGUGUGGCAGAGGGAGGUGGAAUUCCACGUGUAGCAGUGAAAUGCGUAGAGAUGUGGAGGGACACCGAUGGCGAAGGCAGCCUCCUGGGCCAGCACUGACGCUCAUGCACGAAAGCGUGGGGAGCAAACAGG